AGCCACUCGGUCCCAUGGACCAUGGUCGUGCUUUCCUUGGCCCGCUUUAACUUAGUUUAGGUUGUUCAAAAGUAAAGAUGUGGGUGGUGAUGAUGAAUAUGAUGAUGACACCUAUGGUUUUCCAAAUCCUACUCAGCACGAACGAACACUCUUUCGCGAACUUUUCGACUCCCCAGAAUUUUCUUUGCCCUUUAACCACAUUUUUCCUGGAACCAAACACAACCCACCUCCUCCUAGUAUGCCACUAACCCAACAAACAAACAUCAAACUUAAAAGGCGAAUGCUUCGGUGAAUGACAUGAUGACAACACAAUCAUCUUCUUCAGCAGCAAAUUGGCUUAAAGAUUUAACUGGUUCAACAAUGUAGGAAUAUUAUUUAUUUAGCACGAAUGCUCAGGUGGGUAUCUCGGUAAUCGCUUUUCAUCGUUUCGCUUUUGGUUUUUUUAGUCUGGGGUUUGUCGAAACUGCCCGAAUUCGAUUAUGGAGGUCGAGAAGUACUCUAAGGAGUUGGAUAUUGCGGUUAGAGUGGUCCACAUGGCUUGUUCUCUGUGUCAGAGAGUGCAAAAGGGGUUUGUUUCGACGGACAGCGAGCAGGUUAAGUCUAAGGAUGAUGAUUCUCUUGUAACCAUGGCAGAUUAUAGUGUUCAAGCAACUGUUAGCUGGAUGUUGUCUGAAUCAUUUGGGAGUCAAAAUGUUUCCAUUGUUGCUGAAGAAGAUGUGCAAACUCUUUCCAGGGCCGAUUCAACGGGUUUACUAGCAGCUGUAGUGGACACUGUUAAUAAAUGCUUGGCUGAAGCACCCAAGUAUGGUCUUACAAGUCCAACUAAAACCCUUGGGACUUCUCAAAUUCUUGAGGUUAUCAGCCGAUGCAACUCAGCAGGAGGUGCCAAAGGAAGACACUGGGUACUUGACCCUGUUGAUGGGACAUUGGGAUUUGUGCGAGGGGAUCAGUAUGCGGUUGCGCUAGCAUUGAUUGAGGAUGGAAAAGUUGUUAUUGGAGUUCUUGGGUGCCCUAAUUACCCAAUGAAGAAGGAAUUGCUCAGUUAUCAUUAUCAAUAUCACCAAACUAUGUCAAAGUUAUCUCCACCUGCUAUUAAUAUGUGGGAAAAAGGUUGUGUGAUGCAUGCUAUAAAAGGAAGUGGUGAGGCAUGGAUUCAGCCACUGAUUAAUGGAGAAGAUAAACUUCAAUGGCCCAGUUCUGCUACACAAAUUCGGGUGUCUUCCAUUGAUGAUCCAGCACUAGCUACUUCUUGUGAACCUGUUGAGAAAGCAAAUUCAAAUCACUCAUUUACGGAGGGACUUGCUCAUAGUGUGGGGCUAAGAACGAAGCCCUUGCGAGUCUAUAGCAUGGUGAAAUAUGCUGCCAUAGCGCGAGGAGAUGCUGAAAUUUUUAUGAAGUUUGCAAGAUCUGGAUACAAAGAAAAAAUAUGGGACCAUGCUGCUGGUGUUCUAAUUGUAGAAGAAGCUGGAGGUGUUGUAACUGAUGCUGGAGGUCACCCGCUAGACUUUUCAAAGGGGAUCUACUUAGAGGGUCUUGAUCGGGGAAUAAUUGCUUGCUCGGGAGCCACACUGCAUGAGAAAAUUAUUAGUGCUGUUUAUGCUAGCUGGGAUUCUUCUAACUUAUGAGGCUUUUCGUUUCAUGCCAAUAAACUGAUGCUGCUAUAUUUUGCUAUUUGGGCAGGCGUAAUUCUGAGCAGGGUUGCUGACAAAAGUGGCUGAAAAUGAAUUUUGUUACUGCACCAGUACUGAUUUUAAGAAGCAUCUGGUAUUAUUGACUCCUUAGACUUACAAAGCAGCCUAUCAAUAAGGUCUUGCAUAACUUAUGCAAUGGGGGAGUAUCUUGGUCCUUGUAGACCUUGACAAAUUUCAAAGCUUUGUAUUUUUUUUUUUUUUUUGGUAUGGUUCUUCAUCAACUUCUCCGCAAGAGUAUAAGAUAUACUUUUUAUAUGUAAUUGCAUUGACUAUAGUGUAUACUAGAAUAAUUUAGUUUAUAUUCAUUGCCAAGUGUAGAAAUGAUGAAUAAGCUUGCAUAUUAUACGGACAUAAGAAAUAAACUUUCCGUUCCUCUAGA